UCCGCCUGAGGAGUACGAUCGCAAGAUUAAAACUCAAAGGAAUUGACGGGGGCCUACAACAAGUGGUGGAGCAUGUGGUUUAAUGCGAUAAUCCGCGCAAAACCUUACCAACCUUUGAAUAAAGAAUUUAAUUAUUUUUAAUAGUUUGAAAAAAUAAUUAGUUUUUAAAAAUCUUUACAGGUGUUGCACGUCUGCCGUCAGCUCGUGUCGUGAGAUGUUUGGUUAAUUCCUUUAACGAGCGUAACUCUUAUUUUUGUUAUAUUCAUAUCAAAAUUUUUUUUAAAUUUUUAUUACAAAAAUACUAGCAAUGAUAAAUUGAAGGAAGAAGAAUUAAGUCAAGUCACUGUGGCCUUUAUAGGUUGGGCUACACACGUGCUACAAUGAAAAAUACAAAAAGUUACUAUAAUUAAAUUGUUAAAGUUAAUCUUUAAAAUUUUUCUUAGUUCAGAUUAUAAGCUGAAACUCGCUUAUAUGAAGUUGGAAUCACUAGUAAUCGCAAAUCAGAAUGUUGCGGUGAAUAUGUAUCUUGGCCUUGUACACACCGCCCGUCACACCAUGGGAGUUGGUUUUACCCGAAGCCGGUGCGCUAACCCUCCGCUUACUUGUAAGCGGAAGGAGGCAGCCGACCACGGUCAGGUCAGCGACUGGGGUGAAGUCGGAACAAGG
rnacentral:rRNA from 1 species